AUGGGGUCGGCGGAGACUUCCACCACCACCCGGCGGAUUGAUCCGGCCACCGACCUCUGGGAGACGACGGAGCGGAACGCGCGGGAGGCGCGCGAAGAGCGGGAAGCCACCUGCCUGGAGAAGGCAGAAGCAGACAGGGCGGAAGCCGCCACCCUGAAGAAGCUGGCGGAGGCCGAAGCCACCAUUGUGCUGAAGAAGCAGGCUGAGGAAGCCGCGCGCUGUCAGUCGGCAGUGUUUGUUGUCCCCCUGAACUCUGCGCCGCCGCUGCCGGAGUUCGUGACGCAGACUGGGGAAGCCGGCGGCGAGCACCCUAUGAUGGAAAGGGACAACGGCGACAUCGCCAUGCCGGAUGUGAUCGUGCCCCCGCCACCUCCUUUUGAGGAGGCAUGA
rnacentral:rRNA from 1 species